CAGCCGCCGCGGUAAUACGAAGGGUGCAAGCGUUACUCGGAAUUACUGGGCGUAAAGCGUGCGUAGGUGGUGGUUUAAGUCCGUUGUGAAAGCCCUGGGCUCAACCUGGGAAUGGCAGUGGAUACUGGCAAGCUAGAGUGUGUCAGAGGAUGGUGGAAUUCCCGGUGUAGCGGUGAAAUGCGUAGAGAUCGGGAGGAACAUCAGUGGCGAAGGCGGCCAUCUGGGACAACACUGACGCUGAGGCACGAAAGCGUGGGGUGCAAACAGGAUUAGAUACCCCAGUAGUCCCUGUCUCUUAUAC
rnacentral:rRNA from 1 species